rnacentral:rRNA from 1 species
GACGAACGCUGGCGGCGUGCCUAAUACAUGCAAGUUGAGCGCUGAAGGUUGGUACUUGUACCAACUGGAUGAGCAGCGAACGGGUGAGUAACGCGUGGGGAAUCUGCCUUUGAGCGGGGGACAACAUUUGGAAACGAAUGCUAAUACCGCAUAAAAACUUUAAACACAAGUUUUAAGUUUGAAAGAUGCAAUUGCAUCACUCAAAGAUGAUCCCGCGUUGUAUUAGCUAGUUGGUGAGGUAAAGGCUCACCAAGGCGAUGAUACAUAGCCGACCUGAGAGGGUGAUCGGCCACAUUGGGACUGAGACACGGCCCAAACUCCUACGGGAAGGAGCAGGAGGGAAUCUUCGGCAAUGGACGAAAGUCUGACCGAGCAACGCCGCGGGAGUGAAGAAGGUUUUCGGAUCGUAAAACUCUGUUGGUAGAGAAGAACGUUGGUGAGAGUGGAAAGCUCAUCAAGUGACGGUAACUACCCAGAAAGGGACGGCUAACUACGUG